AUUGAACGCUGGCGGCAGGCCUAACACAUGCAAGUCGAACGAGUGGCGGACGGGUGAGUAAUGUCUGGGAAACUGCCCGAUGGAGGGGGAUAACUACUGGAAACGGUAGCUAAUACCGCAUACCAUCGGAUGUGCCCAGAUGGGAUUAGCUUGUAGGUGAGGUAACGGCUCACCUAGGCGACGAUCCCUAGCUGGUCUGAGAGGAUGACCAGCCACAGUGGAACGGAUACACGGUCCAGACUCCGACGGUAGUCAGCAGUGGUGAAUAUUGCACAAUGGGCGCAAGCCGGAUGCGGCCAUGCCGCGUGUAUGAAGAAGGCCUUCGGUGUGUAAAUUACUUUCAGCGGGGAGGCGUUAACCACAGAAGAAGCACCGGCUAACUCCGUGCCAGCAGUCGCGGUAAUUC
rnacentral:rRNA from 1 species